rnacentral:siRNA from 1 species
AUCUUCAUCAUCGUACAUCUUCU